GAUGAACGCUGGCGGCGUGCCUAAUACAUGCGAGUCGAGCGAACAGACGAGGAGCUUGCUCCUCUGACGUUAGCGGCGGACGGGUGAGUAACACGUGGAUAACCUACCUAUAAGACUGGGAUAACUUCGGGAAACCGGAGCUAAUACCGGAUAAUAUAUUGAACCGCAUGGUUCAAUAGUGAAAGACGGUUUUGCUGUCACUUAUAGAUGGAUCCGCGCCGCAUUAGCUAGUUGGUAAGGUAACGGCUUACCAAGGCAACGAUGCGUAGCCGACCUGAGAGGGUGAUCGGCCACACUGGAACUGAGACACGGUCCAGACUCCGACGGGAGGCAGCAGUAGGGAAUCUUCCGCAAUGGGCGAAAGCCUGACGGAGCAACGCCGCGUGAGUGAUGAAGGUCUUCGGAUCGUAAAACUCUGUUAUUAGGGAAGAACAAAUGUGUAAGUAACUAUGCACGUCUUGACGGUACCUAAUCAGAAAGCCACGGCUAACUACGUG
rnacentral:rRNA from 1 species